AUUGAACGCUGGCGGCAUGCCUUACACAUGCAAGUCGAACGGCAGCGGACCUUCGGGUGCCGGCGAGUGGCGAACGGGUGAGUAAUAUAUCGGAACGUACCUUUCAGUGGGGGAUAACGUAGCGAAAGUUACGCUAAUACCGCAUAUUCUGUGAGCAGGAAAGCAGGGGAUCGCAAGACCUUGCGCUGAUUGAGCGGCCGAUAUCAGAUUAGCUAGUUGGUGAGGUAAAGGCUCACCAAGGCGACGAUCUGUAGCGGGUCUGAGAGGAUGAUCCGCCACACUGGAACUGAGACACGGUCCAGACUCCUACGGGAGGCAGCAGUAGGGAAUCUUGCGCAAUGGGCGAAAGCCUGACGCAGCAACGCCGCGUGCGGGACGAAGGCCCUCGGGUUGUAAACCGCUUUCAGUAGGAACGAAACUGACGGUACCUGCAGAAGAAGGUGCGGCCAACUACGUGCCAGCAGCCGCGGUAAA
rnacentral:rRNA from 1 species